UCAUUAACGAUCGUUGAUCGAUCAAACAUCUCCAACUUUUCUGCAAUCAAACCUUUCUUCUUUCUUCAAACUCUAAUUUGGUUAUCUGUGAUUCUAACUCGAAGAAACCCAAUGGUAAGAACCCUUUCGUUAUCAAAUUAUUAUAGAGUCCGUUUGAUUACCAAAAAAUUAUAGAGUUUGAGCUUUGUGUUUUAAGAUUGUGGCCGAUGCUUUUUGAUCACUCGCCAUUGUUUUAUCUUACUUACAAGAGAAGUGAGUGUCGAGGGAGUUGGAGUUAACGCUAUUGUUGUUGUUGUUGUUGUUGGAAGGAAGCUUUGGUCAUGUAGAGAUGCUUCGUCUUAUCCACCUCAGCCAGUUCAUGCUAUUUUAUUGCAUAUAUAUAUAUAUAUAUAUAUAUGAUUUGCCUAAUAUGCUUUCUCUUUAAAAACUCUUGGUUAUGGACUUAUGGGUGAUCUCAAUUAAUCCUUUGAGUACGACAUAUGUUGUAUCAAUACAUAUAACAUGCACAAGUACUUUUCUUUCUGGUUAUCUUUUCUAAUGAGUCUGAUUGUGUUGUAGAUCAUCAAGAAUAGUUUUGCUAAAAGGAUUUGAUGAGAAUGAAUUUGUCAGAAAACCCUUCUGCAGCUCUACUUUUUUACUGUUAAAAGUAUGAACCAGCAGGUAAGAAUUGAAGUACAGUGGAGAUAAUAGCUGAGGAAGAAUGGGAGAAUUACUAUCAUAGUUGUCCUAUAGGAAGUCAGAUCAAGAAGGUGAAGCUUCGCUGAUGUACCUCCAGGAUCUUCACGAGAAGCAUGAUAGCUGGCUCCACCCAUUUGAGAGUGGGAACCAUGGGAUACUGUCUGUUAGCGAACCGUCUUUAGAGAUGGAUAACACUCUGCAUCCUGACAUCAAAGACCGUGUCUUUUACUUGGAAGGAAACCAUAUGCAUUUCAGCAUCCAGAAGGUCUCUGCUCUGGUUUUAGACUGUCAACUAAAUAUUGACUUCAGCAGAGAUAUUGAAACAAAGAGACACUAAGUUCUCAGACAAGGCGAGGUCAAAACUGGGGUCAUCGCCUUGAGGACUUGCGAGCCUAAUUCAUGAAGGCGGAAGCCUCACGCCUCAACGCUUUCUGGAUAUUAAGGUCAAGACGUCAAGUUGGAGCAAGGUUUGAAGUUUGUGGAAAUUUUUAAGAAGCAUACGAGCAAGAAUUGCAUUUUGGAUGAUUUUUUCUUCUGUGAGGUUCGACAGAAGACUACUACCUUAAGGAAGAAAGCCAAGCAACAGCAAAGCCAAGCAACAGCAAAGCCAAGCAACAGGUAAGUGAGGAGAAUAGUAUAGAGGAUGAGAAAAAGAAAUCUGCAACUGCUGAUCCAGCUCAUAAGGAAUCUCCUACAGCUUCUCAGACUACCGGUGAUGUCAAGUUGAUGAGAAUGGAUCUGUUUCUAAAUCAGUUGAUGUGAUGGAAAAUGGUUGCUAGAUAGAUUAGUUGAUGCUGCUCACGGCUUGAGCAUAAACAAAAGGUUUCUCUUGGGAAUGAUUGAGUGCCGUGAGCUUUGGAGCAGCUUUGAAGCAAGGAGGAGCUUUAGUACCUAAGACCGAGAACUGUUUCAUUGCCCUUAGAAAUUAAAAUCAUAUUUUCAUUUUUUUUUGUUUUUGUUCGCAACUGUCUUUAUAGUUUUUGUUUUUUUUUUUUUGCUUUUUCAGUUUCUGCUGAUGCUACUGCCAUGUUUAAUCUGAUGCUGGCACUUUCCUCAACUGAUACCAAAAAAAUAAUCUGAUGGUUAUACUUAUGUUUAA